AGGGCACCACCAGGAGUGGAGCCUGCGGCUUAAUUUGACUCAACACGGGAAAUCUCACCAGGCCCGGACACCGGAAGGAUUGACAGAUUGAGAGCUCUUUCUUGAUUCGGUGGUUGGUGGUGCAUGGCCGUUCUUAGUUGGUGGAGCGAUUUGUCUGGUUUAUUCCGACAACGAACGAGACUCUGGCCUACUAAAUAGUGACAGGAUUAUUACUGUCCUGGAUACUUCUUAGAGGGACAAGUGGUUUUCAGCCACACGAAAUUGAGCAAUAACAGGUCUGUAAUGCCCUUAGAUGUCCGGGGCUGCACGCGCGCUACACUGAAGGAAUCAGCGUGCUAAAACCAUUGUCGAAAGGCAUUGGUAAACCCAUUAAAAUCCUACGUGAUUGGGAUCGGGAAUUGCAAUUAUUUCCCUUGAACGAGGAAUUCCCAGUAAGUGUGGGUCAUAAGCUCGCGUUGAUUACGUCCCUGCCCUUUGUACACACCGCCCGUCGCUGCCCGGGACUGAGCCGUUUCGAGA
rnacentral:rRNA from 1 species